CAAACGAAGGGGUGUGAUGAGGUCGAGCAAUCUUCAUCCAUCCUCUCGAUCCAAAACGCAGUAAAUAUGGAAAGACUACAUUCAUAGUACAGGUGUAUGUAAAUAUAUUACAUUUCCUUUUUAUGACUCGCACCUGCCUCGCCUAAAUUACUGUUUAAAGUUAUUUUUUAUUUCACUGACUCAGUGGUUCCUUUGAAAUCAGUUAAUUUGUGUCCCUUAUUUGGAUUAACCCGAUAAGGAGAUCCAAUAUUUUGCAGAUAAUUCAAUAUUGCAGAAAUGAGGUAUGAAACUGCGUAAAAAGCAGUAACCCCAACGUGUCGCAACAUUAUCCAAUUCCUCAUAUCACAUUUUCCUUAACCGCUUUUCCUUCCUGCCUUGAUCAAAUUCUCCAGUCACCUUGAACUCCUUAUGUUGCAUCUCCUGUUCAGUGCCAUUCCCUAUGAUCUGACCACCCCCGCCCACCUGCACAUCUGUUCCCAUUUCCCCAGCAGUAACAUACACCGGCCCACUUAUAUUCGUUGCCAGUAAGAUUGCUUCUAAGCUUCUGCCUUAGUGUUUCAGCCAUUUUCUCAGCUGGCCUAGGUUUUGCCUGUAAUGACCUCCUGCCUGCCUUUUGGACUCCUGUUCUCCAGCCUCAUCCCAUAUUGGAGAUGAUGGCCUGUUAUCUAUCCUGUGUUUCUGUGUUUGACUUAUACCCGUUUUUGACCCGACAUAAAACGUUUUCUCAUAAAGGCUCCUAGUUUUAAGAGAUCCUCCUUUUUUUUCCCAAUCAACCACAUCUAAAGAAUGCGUAAUACACCUUGCAACGGGGUGAACCACGCCUCCUGACUACGGUAAAGGUUGCUGUCCUUUCCUUGCUAUGAGUUUCUCUGAAACAUUUCCUUCAUCCUAUGAGUCCUUGCCAAAAAUGUUAGGUUCAAGCUUGGAGCUCUCUGAGAGUCUUUGUGAAUACAGCCGCAGAUCUUUUUUUGUCACACAUCAACACAUUGAUUUGUUGGAUUAGGUGUAAACAUUUUCAAACCAGUUUAAUAUAGAGCCAAACACUGGACCGGCAUACCGAGUUUGACCACUAAGUGCAACAACUCCAACAAAACCCGAGAGAUAUAGACACACGUCGCUAUGGUGAUAACUAUAGCGUAACUGCAAACGUUAUACUCACCAUCAC
ensembl:lncRNA